AAAGACUUAGAUAGAAAGAGAAAGAGAGAUUGUUUAACCAAAAUAUAUAUCUUCAGAGUUCAGACCAAAGCAGAAAAACAAAAUCCUCCGAUUUCUUCUCUUUCUUCUUUCCUUUCCUUGUUUUUCCAUCUUCUUUUUCUUCUUCUCCAGAUCUGCAACAUUUUCAUACCUAGUUUGUUGUUGAGCAUAGUGGAUCGGCUUUCUUCCUCUCUCUCUAUUAUUUUCGAACCCAAAUCCGAUCCCCAAUCUAAGAAAAAGAUAGUUUGAUAUCAGAUCUUUGCUUGAUCCCUUAUCUCGAUAUUAUGCUCAAAUCGUUUAGGAUCUUGAAUUAUUUUUAAUCUUCUUGGUUCCUGUUGUUUGUUGUGGAAUAGAUGUGUGGGUUUAUGAAAAUAUUUGCGAGAUCUGGGUUUUGCAGAAUCUUUGUGAUUAGAAAUCGGAGGUGGAGGUGGAGGUGAAAGAGAGCAAUCCUGGGUUUCAGCGCACGAAAAAUUUGAAACACGUACAGAUGCUUGAUUAGUUACUCUCCGUUUGAAGUUUUGCUUCUUAUUUCAUCUAAGCUUAGAAGGAGCUAGCCAAGAGGACAAGUAUUGACGUGUGGACUUGCUUUGAUUAUCAGCCUCAGCAAAAGAGCGUUGGUUUUCCAGAGAGUACAACCUCGAAAAGAAAGGAGCAAAACAAAAUAGUAGCAGCUACAUUUUUCUUUCUUAUUGUGUUGUUGUAUUAUGUUUUUCGUUCUUCCCUUGUAAAUAUUUACUGGGAGAGGUAUUGGCGUUGAUCCUCCGCUUCCUCCCUGUAUCAUUAUUUCUCGAAUAAAUUGGAUAUUUUGAUGAU